rnacentral:piRNA from 1 species
UGUUCAUAUACUGGAUAACUU